rnacentral:rRNA from 1 species
UGGGGAAUAUUGGACAAUGGGCGAAAGCCUGAUCCAGCCAUGCCGCGUGUGUGAAGAAGGUCUUCGGAUUGUAAAGCACUUUAAGUUGGGAGGAAGGGCAUUAACCUAAUACGUUAGUGUUUUGACGUUACCGACAGAAUAAGCACCGGCUAACUCUGUGCCAGCAGCCGCGGUAAUACAGAGGGUGCAAGCGUUAAUCGGAAUUACUGGGCGUAAAGCGCGCGUAGGUGGUUUGUUAAGUUAGAUGUGAAAUCCCCGGGCUCAACCUGGGAACUGCAUUCAAAACUGACUGACUAGAGUAUGGUAGAGGGUGGUGGAAUUUCCUGUGUAGCGGUGAAAUGCGUAGAUAUAGGAAGGAACACCAGUGGCGAAGGCGACCACCUGGACUAAUACUGACACUGAGGUGCGAAAGCGUGGGGAGCAAACA